CCCUUUUUUAUUAUUUAUAUUUUUAGCUGAAAAGACGUAAAGGCAGUCAGCCCAGUGGUGUUUCUGGAGAGGGAUUCCUUCAGAAAUGGAGAAGACAGAAAGCUGCGGAGGCAGAUAUUUGCAGCAGUCUAAAAUAUCGAGCUCAACAGCUAUUUUAAGAGCCAACCCUCACAAACCUUCCUAAAACCUAAAAGAGCUAUUACUGAGUCUCAGCGAAUCUUGCCAUGAUCAGCUCUUCCCAGAAGAGAAGGAAGACCAAGGAAAUGAUUUGCUCAGGAUGAGGAAUGAAGACGGCCAUCUUGAGCUCAAACAAACAGAAGUCCUCUGAUGAUCUCAUCAGCCAAAUGAGAGGUUUUGACCAAGUGAUGCUCUUGAAAGGAGUGAAAGAAGAGGAUGUGGUAAAUUGUCUUCAGAGAAAAAGCUUCUCAAAAGGUCUUAAAGCAGCUUGAAGAAUGGUCUGGGAUGUUAGGACUGAGAGAUCCUCUGGCUGAGAACAAGCUACACCACAUCAGUGCUGGAUAUCAACCACAAACUGUUUCCAGACACGAGAGAAGAAGAACACGAUGGGGAGAUGAAACCAGUUUAGAUGUGAUGAUGGGAAUCAUUAUUUUGUGGAACAGUAUCUCAUGUCUUAUAUGUAUCACAUGAUCUGUAUCACAGUUGACUGGAUGGGACUGUGUGACUUUUAAGGACAUUUCAUCACUCAUCUGUGUGAACUGAUUUAUAUAUGAGGUUAAUGUAUCUUUGAUGAUAAUUAUUUUCAUUGAAUCUUAUUUGUCUUGAUGCUACUUUAUCAACUUUAUAGUCUAUGCUUCAAUAAAAUGAAAAUGGUGAA